UACGUAGGUGACAAGCGUUGUCCGGAUUACUGGGCGUAAAGAGCGCGCAGGCGGUCGAUCAAGUCGAGUGUGAAAGCCCCCGGCUCAACUGGGGAGGGUCAUUCGAUACUGAUCGACUCGAAGGCAGGAGAGGGUAGUGGAAUUCCCGGUGUAGUGGUGAAAUGCGUAGAUAUCGGGAGGAACACCAGUGGCGAAGGCGACUACCUGGCCUGUUCUUGACGCUGAGGCGCGAAAGCUAGGGGAGCAAACGGG
rnacentral:rRNA from 1 species